ACUAGGGCUGCCAGGUGUGUGGGUUUGCCAGGGCCGCUGUCACGUAGCAGCACACACUGGGGGGCUUAAACAGUAGGCUCGUCCAGUCUCACAGUUCUGGAGGCCAGAGACCAAGGUGUGGCGAGGGCUGGUUCCUUCUGAGGCUGUGAGGCCUCUGCUUGGCCUGCUAGUAACUUGGGCUGAGUGGGGGAACAGAGCCGGCCUUGGCUCCUGAAGUCACAGUGCCCUCAGGGCACCCCGUGGGCUGGGCCAGGCACCAUAUCCAGCCCUGGAGCUGGGGGCCUUCACAUUAGACUUGCAUCUGCUCCCAGCAUGCAGCUCACCACCUACCCUUCCCAGCCGAGCAGUGACAAUGAAGGCCAAGAUCCCUGAAGCUGACGUUGGUGGUAAACGCCCUCUAGAUGAGGAAUUGGGAUGCGUGUACGGUUUGAGGAAUCUGAUGGAUAAUUUGGGUGUCACUCAAGUGGGAAAACCACAGCAAAUCAAGCUGGGAGCUGGGGCCUGGGCAAUUUAUUACCCAGCUGGGUUCUCUGAGCACAAGAGCUGGAUGUGUUGUCAACCCUGGACACGUGAUGAGGCUGUGCCAUGCCCCGGACAACACAGUGGCACAAGGUUGGCCUGGAGUACAGCAUGGCUGGCUCCUGCCUGUCCAGACCCAGCCAGGGCAUCAGAAAAGAGCACGGGCCUCAAAGCUUUUGCCGUAGCUGCACUCCCAUGCUCGUGCGAACCACCGACAGUCCCCGCGCAGGCAGUUCAGGCGCACGGGCCACCCUCUGAAAGAACUUGGCUGGAAUGAACAAUUCUCCCGAGAAAGUGAAGACAUGGACUCAGGGGAGAGUUCUGGGCAGAAACAGAGGCAGAGACUGGAGUGAAGCAUCCGCAAGCCAAGGAGUGCCAGAGAUUGCCAGCAAGUCCCAGAAGCUGGAGGAGGCAGGAAGGAGCCUUCCCGAGAGCCUUUGCAGGGGAAGGGCUGUCACACCUUGAGGUCAGACACCUGACCCCCAGGACGGUGAGAGAAUAGGUUCUGUGGUUGUAAGCCACCAGCUCAUGGCACUUGGUUCUGUGGGUCACAGGUCACGAGCGGCAUAUCUACUCAUUCAUUUCAGAAACGUUUACUACCUGCCAGUCUAUAUGAGGCACUUUCAAAGACACUGGGGAUAGGGAAAUAAACACCAAACAGGAUCCUUGCUCUCAGUGGAGUUUCCAUUCUAGUAGAGGAAGAUGAUCAUAAUAAACCAAUGAUAGCUUCUGGCCAGGUGCGGUGGCUCACGUCUGCAAUCCCGGCACUUUGGGAGGCUGAGGUGGGCAGAUCACCUGAGGUCAGGAGUUCUAGAUCAACCUGGUCAACAUGGUGAAACCCCCAUCUCUACCAAAAGUACAAAAAUUAGCCAGGUGUGGUGGUGAGUGCCUGUAAUCCCAGCUACUUGGGAGGCUGAGGCAGAAUUGCUUGAAUCUGGGAGGUGGAGGCUGCUGUGAGCUGAGAUUAUGUCUUUGUACUCCAGCCUGGGUGACAGAGUAAGACUUGGUCUCAAAAAAAAAAAAAAAAGUAAAUAAAAUAAAUAAAUGAAUGAUAGGUUCUGACAGCAGGCAGAGCUGUGAGAUCCACACAAUAGAGGCGUUGGAGAGGGUGUCAGUACCCUCGAGCUGCCCUCGCCGGGCGCUACAAACUGGGCAUCUGAAAAGGAAGCAGCACCACCAGGCCGUGGCUGGGUUUGGCCCAUGGCCCAUUGUUUGCCACCCUGCUCUGUAUAACAGGUGCCUCUCCUGGGGGCACAGAGCAGGCGCUCCUGAUCUCUCUGUUUUGUAGGGGGAAACUGAGGCAGGAGUUUGCAAUGACUGGUCCCUGAGCAACAAAGCCCAUCUCUCCAGAGUUCUUUUGGGUUGGAGGUGUCUUGGCUUGGUCCGUGUACCUACAGGGCCUGACUUCUGAUGGGGAAGAAAUUGGUAGCUACUCUGCUGGGGGACGGAGGCUCUGGGCAGCGCCCUGUGUCUUCUCACCUGGCCCAGAGCCCUGGCCCACAGCCUCCUCCCAGCCUCCCUGGC
ensembl:lncRNA